ACGGUUUCGUCGCCAGUGCUGUUGAAAAAAAUAUAUGCAACUGUCGUUGUAUUUAACGUGCAAGAAGUGAAAAAGUUGAGUAACCUGUGAUGAAUACAAGAAGGCAUAUAAUCUUUCCGCCUAUUCACAAUAUUUUAGAAAUUAGAAAAAUUAGGAAGCGGGAGAAAAAACUAAGAAGAAUGCAAAAGUGGAAAUGGGGAAUAUUUCAAAACGUAUCUUGGUCGUGCAGAACUUCUCGCUGGCUGGCAGGGAAGGUAGGAUUCGAAGUUAGAUGCACCUGUUAUAUAUUUUCCCUUUGUAUGGUUUUGACAAAGCGGGUCAAUUUAUUCUUUCGCCAUUUGUUUUUAUCGUCGUGUAUUUAGUAUUGUUGUAAAUACACAACAAAGAUUGCCGAAGGUAGCGAGAAUUAACUUUGCCGUUUUUCCGGUUUAUGGGUGAUUGUUCGUAGCUAAGUAGCUAUAAUUGUUAAAACAUGGUUUGACCAUGUUUUGA